rnacentral:rRNA from 1 species
GGACUACUGGGGUAUCUAAUCCUGUUUGCUCCCCACGCUUUCGCGCCUCAGCGUCAGUAUCGGUCCAGUGAGCCGCCUUCGCCACCGGUGUUCUUCCCAAUAUCUACGAAUUUCACCUCUACACUGGGAAUUCCACUCACCUCUCCCGAACUCAAGCAUAGCAGUAUCAAGCGCAAUUCCCAGGUUGAGCCCGGGGCUUUCACGCCUAACUUGCUACGCCGCCUACGCGCCCUUUACGCCCAGUAAUUCCGAACAACGCUAGCCCCCUUCGUAUUACCGCGGCUGCUGGCAC